rnacentral:lncRNA from 1 species
ACCUAUGAACAAUCGCCAUCAUAUUAUUCACCUCCACCACCAACGUACUACAAGAAAACACCCACCUACGCUUCACCUCCACAACCUGUGAAGUACGAGCAAUCUGCCACCUAUGCUUCACCUCCACCACCAACAUACUACAAGCAAACACCCACAUAUGCUUCACCUCCACCACCUGUGAAGUACGAGCAAGCACCCACCUACGCUUCACCUCCAUCACCUGUGAAGUACGAGCAAACACCCACCUACGCUUCACCUCCACCACCUGUGAAGUACGAACAAAUAUCCACCUACGCUUCACCUCCACCACCAACGUACUACAAGCAAACACCCACCUAUGCUUCACCUCCACCACCAACAUACUACAAGCAAACACCCACCUACGCUUCACCUCCACCACCUGUGAAGUACGAACAAACAUCCACCUACGCUUCACCUCCACCACCAAUGCACUACAAGCAAACACCCACCUAUGCUUCACCUCCACCACCUGUGAAGUACGAGCAAAUACUCACCUAUGCUUCACCUCCACCACCAACGUACUACAAGCAAACACCCAUUUAUGUUUCACCUCCGCCACCUAUGAAGUAUUAAUAGUCAAUCACCUAUGCUUCACCUCCACCGCCGUCAACAUCUACCCCACCAACCUACUACUAAUAUUCAAACCCUUCUCUUCAAUCAUUUUCCCCAUCUCCGUGACUUAUAACUCCUUUUCAUCCUCCUUCCCGAGUAUUUCCAUUUCCUUUUCGCCAUAAUUUUAUGUAUGUUCCCCA